AUUGAACGCUGGCGGCAUGCUUUACACAUGCAAGUCGAACGGUAACAGGUUAAGCUGACGAGUGGCGAACGGGUGAGUAAUGCAUCGGAACGUGCCCGGUCGUGGGGGAUAACGCAGCGAAAGCUGCGCUAAUACCGCAUACGAUCUAAGGAUGAAAGCGGGGGACCGUAAGGCCUCACGCGAUCGGAGCGGCUGAUGUCAGAUUAGGUAGUUGGUGGGGUAAAGGCUCACCAAGCCAACGAUCUGUAGCUGGUCUGAGAGGACGACCAGCCACACUGGGACUGAGACACGGCCCAGACUCCUACGGGAGGCAGCAGUGGGGAAUUUUGGACAAUGGGCGAAAGCCUGAUCCAGCAAUGCCGCGUGCAGGAAGAAGGCCUUCGGGUUGUAAACUGCUUUUGUACGGAGCGAAAAGGUCUCCUCUAAUACAGGGGGCUCAUGACGGUACCGUAAGAAUAAGCACCGGCUAACUACGUGCCAGCAGCCGCCGUAA
rnacentral:rRNA from 1 species